rnacentral:rRNA from 1 species
GACAGAGGAGCCAAGCGUUGUCCGGAUUGACUGGGCGUAAAGCGCACGCAGGCGGUCGCGCGCGUGGGGUGUGAAAACUGGCGGCUUAACUGCCAGAGGCCAUCCCAUACGGCGUGACUCGAGCCAUGCAGAGGUCCACGGAAUUGCCGGUGUAGUGGUGAAAUGCGUAGAGAUCGGCAGGAACACCCAGGGGGGAAACCAGUGGACUGGGCAUGAGCUGACGCUCAGGUGCGAAAGCGUGGGGAGCGAACCGG